GCCUAGUUAGCUUAGUUGGUGGCGCGUCUGCCUUGUAAGCGCUAGGCCGCGGGUUUGAUUCCCGCCCGGGGCG
rnacentral:tRNA from 1 species